rfam:Oryza barthii chromosome 4, whole genome shotgun sequence.
AAAGAGUGCACUUUUCAGUUUUUAUACGACGUUUGACUCUUCAUCUUAUUUAUUUUUUAUUACUAUUUUUAUUGUUAUUAGAUGAUAAAAUAUGAACAAUACUUUAUGCGCUACUUUUUUUUCUUAAUUUUUUUUUCAUAAAUUUUUCAAAUAAGAUGGACGGUCAAACGUUGGAAACAAAAACCCAAAAAUGCGUUCUUG